rnacentral:rRNA from 1 species
AUUGAACGCUGGCGGAAUGCUUUACACAUGCAAGUCGAACGGCAGCACGGACUUCGGUCUGGUGGCGAGUGGCGAACGGGUGAGUAAUGUAUCGGAACGUGCCCAGUCGUGGGGGAUAACGUAGUGAAAAUUACGCUAAUACCGCAUACGAUCGAUGGAUGAAAGGGGGGGAUCGCAAGACCUCGCGCGAUUGGAGGGGCCGAUAUCAGAUUAGGUAGGUGGUGGGGUAAAGGCCCACCAAGCAAACGAUCUGUAGCUGGUCUGAGAGGACGACCAGCCACACUGGAACUGAGACACGGUCCAGACUCCUACGGGAGGCAGCAGUGGGGAAUUUUGGACAAUGGGCGAAAGCCUGAUCCAGCCAUUCCGCGUGCAGGAUGAAGGCCCUCGGGUUGUAAACUGCUUUUGUACAGAACGAAAAGGUUUCUACUAAUACUAGGAGCUCAUGACGGUACUGUAAGAAUAAGCACCGGCUAACUACGUGCCAGCCGCCGCCGUAA